AGCACUCGGCAGAGAACCGCGGGAUCAAGGGCUCCGACAAAAGGCGACGCCGUCGAUCCGACCUUGCUGCUCAUGGAAGAGUGCGACGUGCUCAUCCCCGCAGCUCUGGGAGGAGUCAUAGAAAAGGACAAUGUUGAUGCCAUCAAAGCAAAGUACAUCAUCGAGGAUGUUAACCACCGAACAGACCCCGAGGUGGUGCAUAUUCUAGCAAAGAAGGGCGUGCUGAUCCUACCGGACAUCAUGGCCAACUCCGGCGGAGUGAUGGUGAGCUGCUUCGAGUGGGUGCAGAACAUCCAGGGGUUCAUGUGGGAUGAGGAGAAGGUGAAUCGGGAGCUCAAGACAUACGUGACCCGCGCCUCAAACAUAGUUCUGAAUAUUUAG
rnacentral:rRNA from 1 species